rnacentral:RNase_P_RNA from 1 species
AGCAGUUGACAGGCAAUCGCUCCUGGAUGCGUUCAGGGGAGGAAAGUCCGGACUGCAUAGAGCAGGAAGUCCUUUUCAGCGCCUUGUUGCAAGACGGGUGUGAAAGAAGGAUACUGCGGACUAUAUGCCGCAGGAAGGAAAGUGCAACAGAAAGAAUACCGCCGGAUUUUCCGGUAAGGGUGAAAAGGUGGGGUAAGAGCCCACCGGGCGCACCGCGAAAGCCGCGCCGCACAGGCAAACCCCUUCCGCAGCAAGACCAAAUAGGGAACGAGUUGCUGCUCGCAGCGUUAAAAGUUCCGGGUUCUGGUCGCAUAGACAGAUGAUUGCCGCCGGAACAGAAAUGUUCCGGAACAGAAUCCGGCUUAUCUCAAGUGCUGCCU